AAUGGGCGCAAGCCUAAUCCAGCAAUGCCGCGUGAGUGAAGAAGGCCUUCGGGUUGUAAAGCUCUUUCAGUUGAGAAGAAAAAAUUGUGACUAAUAAUCACAAUUCAUGACAGUAUCAACAGAAGAAGCACAGGCUAACUACGUGCCAGCAGCCGAGGUAAUACGUAGGGUGCAAGCGUUAAUCGGAAUUAUUGGGCGNAAAGGGUGCGCAGGCGGCUUUGUAAGUCAGAUGUGAAAUCCCCGGGCUUAACCUGGCAAUUGCGUUUGAAACUACAAGACUAGAGUGUGGCAGAGGGGCGUGGAAUUCCAUGUGUAGCAGUGAAAUGCUUAGAGAUGUGGAAGAACAUCGAUGGCGAAGGCAACCCCCUGGGUUAACACUGACGCUCAGGCACGAAAGCGUGGGGAGCAAA
rnacentral:rRNA from 1 species